rnacentral:lncRNA from 1 species
AAGUGUGCCCAAGGGACAGAGUGGUUGUCACCUUUAAGUAUAACAGCCUGACAGUUGUGCUACUGCAAGUCUUCCUCCUUGUUCAGCUUGAAAUUUUUAUCCCAGUACAGCGUGGAUCUGGGCUCUGGGAUGAGGAAGAGGAGUCUGGGAGGCAGCCAGUGCUGCUCUGACUCACCACCUGCAGAGGAAGUGAUCUGCGAGCAGGGCAGGAGACAGGAUCACGGGAGAUGCAGGUGGAAGUCUGUGCCUCGACACGCGCCUUGGUGCCAGCUAUCCAGAAGGACAGAGCAGGAGAGGAGAGGAAGAUAGCGGCGGAGAACACAAAGCCAGGGCUGACUGCUGUGGUGAAAGCCCAACUGGAACCAGUGGUGUUCCAAAUGGACAAAAACCAAUGCAGAUCCACACCCAGAAUGGCAAUGUGUAAAACUGGAUGCAAGUUCUACAGAAAACUGCUAAAGUGAGUAGUAGUCGCCUGUCACUGAUGGAUAUAGUUAUGUAAGAACACAUACGUGAAGUGACAGUUCAUUACCAUGAAUGCAUCUUCCACAGCAAAUCACCAUGAGGACAAGUAUUCUAUUCUGAGGCACAGAGAAACGUACAUGAAACCUCUGUUUUUCCCCUCUAAGUUUAAAGGGUAUUUUGUUCAUAGAAAAUUCUCUGUAUCAUGAAUGUGAGAUAGACUAAUAGACAAAAAACUCAAAUCAUACUCUUGAAAUAAUCACUGCUGUGAAUCAGCUGCUUUGUCUCAGAAGAAUAGAUGAAUAAUUGCUACAGUGAGAGGUUGAAACUUGACUUGAGCCCAUGUACUUUGUAAAUAGAGGUUUUCUUUAAAGUUGGUUGUUAAAAUGUUGUAAGGUAAUAAAAGCUAGUACAUUUUCU